rnacentral:rRNA from 2 species
CCUACGGGAGGCAGCAGUGGGGAAUAUUGCGCAAUGGCCGCAAGGCUGACGCAGCGACGCCGCGUGGGGGAUGAAGCAUUUCGGUGUGUAAACCCCUGUUGCCCGGGACGAACCUCUCCUUUCGAGGAGACUGACGGUACCGGGUGAGGAAGCACCGGCUAACUCCGUGCCAGCAGCCGCGGUAAUACGGAGGGUGCGAGCGUUGUCCGGAAUCACUGGGCGUAAAGGGCGCGUAGGCGGUGACUUAAGCGUGUGGUGAAAGCCCGGGGCUCAACCCCGGGUCGGCCGUGCGAACUGGGUCACUCGAGCACUGUAGAGGCAGGUGGAAUUCCGGGUGUAGCGGUGGAAUGCGUAGAGAUCCGGAAGAACACCAGUGGCGAAGGCGGCCUGCUGGGCAGUAGCUGACGCUGAGGCGCGACAGCGUGGGGAGCAAACAGGAUUAGAUACCCCAGUAGUC